UAAAGGCAGAAUGUGAAGUACACGGACGUAAGCAACACCAGAGUUUCAGGUCUAAUAAUGGGAGGAAUUUUCAGCCGUUUCGAGCCAAAGACGCUCACACCUGCAUUUUCUUCUGGGUUAAGUAAAUUGUCUAAUGUGUAGCCCCCACAGCUGAAGAAAGAUGCCACUCCGGGUGCUUCCACUAGUUCCUCUUCGCCUAGUGCUAAAAUCAUUUACCAUCGAUGCAAAGGCAUGUGAACGGUCCUAAUACGGCUAGAGGGGGUGAAUAGCCUAUUUCAAAUUCUACAAGACACC
rnacentral:lncRNA from 1 species